CCUACGGGAGGCAGCAGUGGGGAAUCUUGCGCAAUGGGCGAAAGCCUGACGCAGCCAUGCCGCGUGAAUGAUGAAGGUCCUAGGAUUGCAAAAUUCUUUCACCGGGGACGCUAAUGACGGUACCCGGAGAAGAGGCACCGGCUAACUUCGUGCCAGCAGCCGCGAUAAUACGAAGGGGGCUAGCGUUGCUCGGAAUUACUGGGCGAAAAGGGAGCGUAGGCGGACUGUUAAGUUAGAGGUAAAAGCCGAGGGCUAUAACUUGGAAUUGACGUUGAUACUGGCAGUCUUGAGUACAGAAGAGGUAUGUGGAAGUCCGAGUGUGGAGGUGAAUUGCAUAGAUAUUCGGAAGAACACCAGUGGCGAAGGCGACAUACAGGUCCGUUACUGACGCUGAGGCUCGAAAGCGUGGGAAGAAAACAGAAUUAGAAACCCCGGUAGUC
rnacentral:rRNA from 1 species